rnacentral:sRNA from 1 species
CAGAAGAGGAUGGUGGAAGAGACAGCCUGUGGAGGAGUGAUCAGGCUGGGACUGCAGGGAGGUUCUCUGUGACUGGUACAGGAAAGUACUUCAUGGUUGCUGAGUGGUUCUAGAGGAGAUACAUGUAAGGUGAGUAGAAACCUGGCACUUGUAUCUAAUGUGAUAGACUCUUUCUUCCCUGCAGGGAAUCACUUCAGUCACUGCCAUUACAGUGCUCUACUUCCUCUCUCGGAGAAUUCCCCUUCCUAGAAGGACCAAGAUGGCAGCAGUGACUCUGCUGGCUUUGGCGUAUACACAGGUGGGCUUGGGCAUCAGCACACUGCUGAUGUAUGUCCCAACUCCUCUGGCCGCCACUCACCAGUCAG